rnacentral:pre_miRNA from 1 species
UCAUUCGGAUUCACCAUCAUACGUCCAACCGUGCAUUUGAUAUGCAUAUAUAUGCAUCACGAGCCACGGUUGGGCUGUAUGAUGGCGAUACCGAUUGG